GACGAACGCUGGCGGCGUGCCUAAUACAUGCAAGUAGAACGCUGAAGGAGGAGCUUGCUUCUCUGGAUGAGUUGCGAACGGGUGAGUAACGCGUAGGUAACCUGCCUGGUAGCGGGGGAUAACUAUUGGAAACGAUAGCUAAUACCGCAUAAGAGUAGAUGUUGCAUGACAUUUGCUUAAAAGGUGCAAUUGCAUCACUACCAGAUGGACCUGCGUUGUAUUAGCUAGUUGGUGGGGUAACGGCUCACCAAGGCGACGAUACAUAGCCGACCUGAGAGGGUGAUCGGCCACACUGGGACUGAGACACGGCCCAGACUCCUACGGGAGGCAGCAGUAGGGAAUCAUCGGCAAUGGACGGAAGUCUGACCGAGCAACGCCGCGUGAGUGAAGAAGGUUUUCGGAUCGUAAAGCUCUGUUGUAAGAGAAGAACGAGUGUGAGAGUGGAAAGUUCACGCUGUGACGGUAUCUUACCAGAAAGGGACGGCUAACUACGUG
rnacentral:rRNA from 1 species